rnacentral:rRNA from 1 species
AACGAACGCUGGCGGCAUGCCUAACACAUGCAAGUCGAACGAGACCUUCGGGUCUAGUGGCGCACGGGUGCGUAACGCGUGGGAACCUGCCCUUAGGUUCGGCCUAACUCCCCGACAGGGGUGCUAAUACCGGACAAUGUCUUCGGACCAAAGAUUUAUCGCCUUUGGAUGGGCCCGCGUUGGAUUAGCUAGUUGGUAGGGUAAAAGACUACCAAGGCGACGAUCCAUAGCUGGUCUGAGAGGAUGAUCAGCCACACUGGGACUAAGACACGGCCCAGACUCCUACGGGAGGCAGCAGUGGGGAAUAUUGGACAAUGGGCGAAAGCCUGAUCCAGCAAUGCCGCGUGAGUGAUGAAGGCCUUAGGGUUGUAAAGCUCUUUUACCCGGGAUGAUAAUGACAGUACCGGGAGAAUAAGCUCCGGCUAACUCCGUG